CCUACGGGCGGCUGCAGUGGGGAAUAUUGGACAAUGGGCGAAAGCCUGAUCCAGCCAUGCCGCGUGUGUGAAGAAGGCCUUCGGGUUGUAAAGCACUUUCAGUGGGGAAGAAAGCCUUGGGGCUAAUACCCUCGAGGAAGGACAUCACCCACAGAAGAAGCACCGGCUAACUCCGUGCCAGCAGCCGCGGUAAUACGGAGGGUGCGAGCGUUAAUCGGAAUUACUGGGCGUAAAGCGCGCGUAGGCGGUCUGAUAAGCCGGUUGUGAAAGCCCCGGGCUCAACCUGGGAACGGCAUCCGGAACUGUCAGGCUAGAGUGCAGGAGAGGAAGGUAGAAUUCCCGGUGUAGCGGUGAAAUGCGUAGAGAUCGGGAGGAAUACCAGUGGCGAAGGCGGCCUUCUGGACUGACACUGACGCUGAGGUGCGAAAGCGUGGGUAGCAAACAGGAUUAGAUACCCCGGUAGUUC
rnacentral:rRNA from 1 species